rnacentral:rRNA from 1 species
UGUAAGCGUAUACCAAAGUUGUUGCAGUUAAAACGCUCGUAGUCGAAUUUUGGUGUGAGUUAUGGAGACUCCUACUGGAUGUUGAAGUAACUUCGCCUUUGUGGAGGGGGGUGUGGUGGUACUUUAUUGUAUUGCUGCAUUUCCGCCACUGUUUACUGUGAAAAAAUUAGAGUGUUCAAAGCGAGCGUUUGCCAUGAAUACAUUAGCAUGGAAUAAUAGAAUAGGACCUGGUUCUGUUUUAUUGGUUUGUCUGUAUCAGGUAAUGAUUAACAGGGACGGUCGGGGGUAUUUGUAUUCCAGCGUUAGAGGUGAAAUUCUUGGAUCGCUGGAAGACAGACAGCUGCGAAAGCGUCUACCAAGGACGUUUUCAUUGA